CCUACGGGGGGCAGCAGUGGGGAAUAUUGGGCAAUGGGCGCAAGCCUGACCCAGCAACGCCGCGUGAAGGAAGAAGGCCUUCGGGUUGUAAACUUCUAUUCUCAGGGACGAAGAAAUUGACGGUACCUGAGGAAUAAGCCACGGCUAACUACUUGCCAGCAGCCGCGGUAAUACGUAGGUGGCAAGCGUUAUCCGGAUUUAAUGGGUGUAAAGGGCGUGUAGGUUGGAAAGGAAGUCAUAGGUGAAAACCUGGGGGUCAAACCGUGGCCUGCUUUUGAUACUGCUUUUCUUGAGUACGGGAGAGGCAGACGGAAUUCCUAGUGUAGCGGUGAAAUGCGUAGAUAUAAGGAGGAACACCAGUGGCGAAGGCAGUCUGCUGGACAGCAACUGACGCUGAGGCGCGAAAGCGUGGGGAGCAAACAGGAUUAGAUACCCGAGUAGUC
rnacentral:rRNA from 1 species